UUUUUUUUUUUUUUUUUUUGUACUUCAUACGUUGUCAAGUGUGUUGGUGGAACACGAAGUGUUCAUUCACCAGUGCUAGUUGUUGGUUACUUGAAACCAUAUAAAAGUACUCUCUUUAUUUCUCUUCUUUUUACAUGAGGAUACAUAUGUGAGUGUAGCAAAACAAAACAAGAAAAGCAAUAUUUUGAUUUUGACAGGAUAAAAAGAUUAAUUGAUUUCAUAAAACAA